AGUCACUGACAUUAGAUACCCCCGUAGUCCAGGGUGUAAACGCUGCAGACUUGGUGUUGGGAAGUCCUUUGGGGGCAUUCAGUGCCGGAGAGAAGUUGUUAAGUCUGCUACUUGGGGAGUACGUCCGCAAGGAUGAAACUUAAAGGAAUUGGCGGGGGAGCACCGCAACGGGAGGAGCGUGCGGUUUAAUUGGAUUCAACACCGUAAACUCACCAGGGAAGACUGUUACAUGAAAGCCGAGAUGAAGACUCUGCUAGAUUUUCAG
rnacentral:rRNA from 1 species